rnacentral:rRNA from 1 species
ACGCUGGCGGCGUGCCUAACACAUGCAAGUCGAGCGAGGAGAUUCCUUCGGGAUGAUCCUAGCGGCGGACGGUGAGUAACACGUGGGCAACCUGCCUCAUAGGAGAGAAUAGCCUUACCGAAAGGGAGAUUAAUACCUCAUAACAUUGCAGUUUCGCAUGGAACAGCAAUUAAAGGAGCAAUCCGCUAUGAGAUGGGCCCGCGGCGCAUUAGCUAGUUGGUGAGGUAAUGGCUCACCGAAGGCGACGAUGCCGUAGCCGACCUGAGAGGGUGAUCGGCCACAUUGGGACUGAGACACGGCCCAGACUCCUACGGGAGGCAGCAGUGGGGAAUAUUGCACAAUGGGGGAAACCCUGAUGCAAGGCAACGCCGCGUGAGUGAUGUACGGCCUUCGGGUUGUAAAGCUCUGUCUUCAGGGACGAUAAUGACGGUACCUGAGGAGGAAGCCACGGCUAACUACGUGCCAGCAGCGGC